GGUGAGAUGGCCGAGCGGUCUAAGGCGCCAGACUAAGGAUCAGUUCCAAUGGAACGCACCUGACAAGCACGUAAUCAUGCUUAGUCAUCUGGUCCGACAAGGGCGUGGGUUCGAAUCCCACUCUCAUCA
rfam:Plicaturopsis crispa FD-325 SS-3 unplaced genomic scaffold PLICRscaffold_2, whole genome shotgun sequence.